rnacentral:rRNA from 1 species
GAUGAACGCUAGCGGCAGGCCUAACACAUGCAAGUCGAGGGGCAGCACAGGGAGUGGUAACACUUUUGGUGCGACCGGCGGACGGGUGCGUAACGCGUAUGCAACCUACCUUUAACAGGGGGAUAACGGAUGGAAACGUCCACUAAUACCCCAUAACCUCAGAGAGGGCAUCUUCUUUGGUUGAAAGUUCAGGCGGUUAAAGAUGGGCAUGCGUUGUAUGAGGUAGUUGGUGGGGUAACGGCUCACCAAGCCUACGAAACAUAGGAAGACUGAGAGGUUAGCCACCCACACUGGGACUGAGACACGGACCAGACUCCUACGGGAGGCAGCAGUGAGGAAUAUUGGUCAAUGGGGGCAACCCUGAACCAGCCAUGCCGAGUGCAAGAAGACGGCUCUAUGGGUUGUAAACUGCUUUUACAAGGGGAUAAAUCACGAUACGAGUAUCGUGUUGAAGGUACCUUGAGAAUAGGGAUCGGCUAACUCCGUGCCAGCCGCCGCAGUAACAC